CUUUCUUCUACGGCCGUAUAACCACGAUUGACUUCCGUAAAAGUGGUGAGAAGAGAGUGUGAUGCGGAUAAGAAGGAAAGGGACUGUUGAAAGAGACUCUGAGAGCGAAGAGGCUCUUUUGCUUUAACCACAACACUCCAAUAGCUCAAGUGAAACUCGCCUGCAGUCGAUUUGUUCUCUUGAUUUGACGAUGAAGGUCUCUAAUCUGACGAUCCGUACUAUACCAUUUAAAAGAAACUUGAAAAACAAACAUAUUCAUAAGAAGCUUGGUUGAG
rnacentral:lncRNA from 1 species